CUCGGUUGCAGCCCGGUGCAGUGAGCUGAAGAGGUUUCACAUCUUACUCCGUCCCACACCCUGGGCGUCGCGGCGCUGGGCUCGUUGCUGCAGCCGGACCCUGCUCGAUGGGCACAACUGGGCUGGAGAGUCUGAGUCUGGGGGACCGCGGAGCUGCCCCCACCGUCACCUCUAGUGAGCGCCUAGUCCCAGACCCGCCGAAUGACCUCCGCAAAGAAGAUGUUGCUAUGGAAUUGGAAAGAGUGGGAGAAGAUGAGGAACAAAUGAUGAUAAAAAGAAGCAGUGAAUGUAAUCCCUUGCUACAAGAACCCAUCGCUUCUGCUCAGUUUGGUGCUACUGCAGGAACAGAAUGCCGUAAGUCUGUCCCAUGCGGAUGGGAAAGAGUUGUGAAGCAAAGGUUAUUUGGGAAGACAGCAGGAAGAUUUGACGUGUACUUUAUCAGAAGAUACCAUCCCACGAACACAGAUACAAAGAAGGAAAACAAGCCUGUAUUUUUCCAGCAAAUAUAACAAAGAAGGUAUCCCUUUCCCAAUCAGAACAGCAAAUUCUAAUUCCAUUUUGGGUUUUCAAUUCUGAUGCAGUAUGUUUGUUUAGCUCUUAGCCCCCCACGACGUAAAGCCUUUAAGAAAUGGACACCUCCUCGGUCACCUUUUAAUCUCGUUCAAGAAACACUUUUUCAUGAUCCAUGGAAGCUUCUCAUCGCUACUAUAUUUCUCAAUC
rnacentral:sRNA from 1 species